UUGUGAAAUAAAAUAGGGUUGAUGUUUUGAGCGAUUUCAAGAGUUUUUUAAUAGAUCUACAUGUGAAAAUUUAUGGAUUAAUGGUUAUAGUUGUACUUAGUAUGUAUUUUGAAUUUUAGCUAGAUCUAAUAGUUGAAUUGAAGGUUAUUAAGGUUUAAGUGGGUCAAGGUCUCAAAAAGUAGAAUUUUAGGUCUAGUGAGGGUUUUAAAAUUUCUUACAAUCUAUUGGUUGGAUUGGAGUAGAAGUUAUG
rnacentral:lncRNA from 1 species